CAGCAGCCACGGUAAUACGGAGGGUGCGAGCGUUAAUCGGAAUAACUGGGCGUAAAGGGCACGCAGGCGGUUAUUUAAGUGAGGUGUGAAAGCCCCGGGCUUAACCUGGGAAUUGCAUUUCAGACUGGGUAACUAGAGUACUUUAGGGAGGGGUAGAAUUCCACGUGUAGCGGUGAAAUGCGUAGAGAUGUGGAGGAAUACCGAAGGCGAAGGCAGCCCCUUGGGAAUGUACUGACGCUCAUGUGCGAAAGCGUGGGGAGCAAACAGGAUUAGAUACCCCGGUAGUCCAUGUCUCUUAUAC
rnacentral:rRNA from 1 species